rnacentral:rRNA from 1 species
UGAAGUCGGAAUUGCUAGUAAUGGCAGGUCAGCAUACUGCCGUGAAUACGUUCCCGGGCCUUGUACACACCGCCUGUCACACCAUGAGAGUUGGAGAUACCCGAAGCCUAUGAGCUAACUUUUAGAGGCAGUAGUCGAAGGUAGAAUUAAUGAUUGGGGUGAAGUCGUAACAAGGUACC